UUUACAUGAAUAAUUUUUGAAUGCCUUUGAAUGUUAAUAAAAAAGUGAAAACUUAAAAUUCUUGAAUUUUUUCGGCGGAGAUCUCUUCUCAGCCCUUUUGAGAUUAGCUCAAAAGAAUAAAAAGAAACUUAGAUUUCUGGUUUUGAAAAAAAUCUGCGUUUUUAUGUUAACAUUAAAAUGGUGACUAUUAACAAACUAAGAAAAGCAUAACAAUUAAACAAAUGGUGAUAAUUUAUUUUUGUUUACGGAUUCUUGUUUAUUGAUAUGUCUACUUAGUACCAAUUUUUUUUAUUCCUUAAUAUUAAUAUGUAAUCAGUUAAGAUAUGUUUUUAGUUCACGUGGCAGAUUGCGGCAAAUCACGCGAAACGCGAACUAUGCGUUUUUACCGUUACUUUCGCCGCUCAAUUAAAGUUAUAAGGAAUAUUGAUAAAGUUCCAAAAGUUAGGAUUUGUUUUAGGAAAUUUCCUGCUCUUUAAGGAUCUAUUUUCAAAUUUUGACUAUCUCAAAUAGUCUAUGAAAUAUUAAAAAAAAACCAAACCUUUAUUUUUUUGUUCACUUUAUUGUUUAAAUAACUUUUGCAUUUUUUUCAGCCCCUCUUGGAAUUUUGAUAGAAUGUUCUAAAUGGUAUUCCGAAUCGAAUGAGACCAAAAUCAUAAUUUUCGGUGCAUGAGAUCAGGUUUCGAGGAAAAUAGCACUUGUUUACUAGUGUAAUAGUUUUGCUUCUUGUAU